GGUACUUUCAUCUCAGUCUCCUGACUUUGCUCUUCUGUGUAACUGCCAUCUGGGCUGCUCAAGAGAGGAAAAUACAGAGCAACUAUAGCAACCAGCCUCGGGAGCAAAGAGGAUGGCUUGUUUACCAGAUGCUUAAGACAAGCACUGAGCACUGGGGCUAUUAUAAAUUUCAUCAUACUUAGAAAAGCAGCUGUUCAAGUUGGAAUCUUCUAUAUGCUAAAAAGAGUGAGCAAGACUCCCUUCACGGAGUGCCUGCCUUUUGUCUGCUCAUCGAAUAAACUUCUGAACGCUGCAGAGCAAGAGUUUUCCUGUUUAAGAAGCUCAGGAAAUCAGGUUUAAUGUCAUUCCAAACAAGUCAGCUCUGUACAGAUACUGUACCUCUCCCGGUCCUGUGCGCAGCUGUUUACUGCUGAGGUGUUCUGGGCUUCAUACAGCCCGCUCUGCCGUCGGGCCUGUUCAGUCCGCAUGGGCAGCCUGCCCUCCACCUCGGCCAGCCAGCCCUGCAAAGGAAAAGCAGCAGUCUCACACAUCCCCGGUGCUUAGACUUGCAGGGGGACAUAUGUUGUUUUUACUUUGCUUUGUUAUGUUUGACAUUCAGACUACGGAACUAAAACCAGAUUGUAAAUAUUUAAAAGUUUUCUUUUGAGUUGCAGUUGUUGGGUAUAAAUAGAUUCUGUAUGUUCAACAUUUAUUAAAACUCAUGGUCUUGCCACAAAACACGCUUACUGAAAACUUGAUUCUUUUGUGACGCUGGGUGCUGAAAACAUCGAGUUAAGAGGAGCAGUUAAUAGCUGUUUGGACAUGCUGCUGCUCUCGUCACAAUAAAGUACGAAGAUAUGUGGCAGUUUAAGUAGUCUCAAUAACAUCAGACACGCAGCAGUCUUAGUGACUGCUGAAUGCAAGAGGAGUAAUCUGGGGA